rnacentral:rRNA from 1 species
AUUAUUUAAAUGGCCGCGGUAUUUUGACUGUGCAAAGGUAGCGUAAUCAUUAUUUUUUUAAUUGAAAGCUUGUAUGAAUGGUUGGACGAGGUAAUAACUGUCUUUGUUUAAUGUAAAGUUGAAUUUAACUUUUGAGUCAUAAGGCUCAAAUUUAAUUGAUAGACGAGAAGACCCUAUAGAUCUUUAUUUACAAGGUUAUAUAUUAAAUUUGGAUAAAUUUAUGGUUUAUGAUUUUAUAAAUUUUAUUGGGGUAAUAUAGAGAUUUAAUAAAUUCUUUGAAUAAUCUCAACAAUGAUGAUUGACAAAUUGAUCCAUUAGUAUUGAUUAUAAGAUUAAGUUACCUUAGGGAUAACAGCGUAAUUUUUUUAAAGAGUUCAUAUCGAUAAAAAAGUUUGCGACCUCGAUGUUGGAUUAAAAAUUGUUUCGGGUGCAGAAGUUCGAAAAUUUGGUCUGUUCGACCAUUAAAUUUUUACAUGAUCUGAGUUCAGACCGGCGUAAGCCAGGUCGGUUUCUAUCUUUAGUAUAAUAAAAUAUUUUAGUACGAAAGGACCCAAUAUUUAAUAUAUUAAUAUUUAAGUUUUGAAUAUUAUUAUUACUUUGGCAGAAUAGUGCAAUGAAUUUAGAAUUCAUGAAUGUAAUAUUAUUACAAGUAAUACUUGUUUGUUGCUGAUUUAGUUUUUAUAUUAGUUUGCAUGUUACUUUUAGUUAUUUGUGUUUUGGUGGGAGUGGCAUUUUUAACAUUGCUUGAACGUAAAGUACU